GAGUAACACGUGGGAACGUGCCUUUAGGUUCGGAAUAGCUCCUGGAAACGGGUGGUAAUGCCGAAUGUGCCCUUCGGGGGAAAGAUUUAUCGCCUUUAGAGCGGCCCGCGUCUGAUUAGCUAGUUGGUGGGGUAAUGGCCCACCAAGGCUACGAUCAGUAGCUGGUCUGAGAGGAUGACCAGCCACAUUGGGACUGAGACACGGCCCAAACUCCUACGGGAGGCAGCAGUGGGGAAUCUUGCGCAAUGGGCGAAAGCCUGACGCAGCCAUGCCGCGUGUAUGAUGAAGGUCUUAGGAUUGUAAAAUACUUUCACCGGUGAAGAUAAUGACUGUAGCCGGAGAAGAAGCCCCGGCUAACUUCGUGCCAGCAGCCGCGGUAAUACGAAGGGGGCUAGCGUUGCUCGGAAUUACUGGGCGUAAAGGGAGCGUAGGCGGACAUUUAAGUCAGAGGUGAAAUCCCGGAGCUUAACUUCGGAACUGCCUUUGAUACUGGGUGUCUUGAGUGUGAGAGAGGUAUGUGGAACUCCGAGUGUAGAGGUGAAAUUCGUAGAUAUUCGGAAGAACACCAGUGGCGAAGGCGACAUACUGGCUCAUUACUGACGCUGAGGCUCGAAAGCGUGGGGAGCAAA
rnacentral:rRNA from 1 species